ACCAGGAGCUCCCUGAGAAGCAGCUGAGCCUGGCCUGGAAGAGCUCAACAAACCCGUUGAGGAGAGGGAAGUGUCUUGAGUAGGCUUUGGAAAGCAACCAUGUCCAUUCCUCCACUUGGGAGCUGUUCUGAAGGUGUCCUAGGCAGCUUGUCCACACUUGAUCAGAGAGACUGACCCUUCAUGAAGGGGAAGAUGGUGAUGACAGAAGAUUCGUUUUUUAGAUUCAGAGCUCUGGAGGGAAUGAAGUUCCCAAUGCAAGGGAGUAGAAAGAAAGAGAGAAGUCUCAAAUGAAAAAAGAAGAGGUGUGUGGGGAAGCACAACGUGUUAUUCUGUGUAUACUUCCAAGUAUUGUAAGGCAUUAAACGUCCAGCAAUUUACACCAGAGACACUGCAGUCUUGCCAAGUCUUUGGACACAAAUCCCUUCUUUCUACCUAGCAAGAGGCCAACAGAACGUGUCAUAAUAUCUUUUGCAAUCACCUUCAAGGGAAAAAUAAGGAAGAUGGCUCUGAUACAUACCAAAGAUCUGCAUAAGUAGGUAGUAAUCAACAUGCUGAGCUGUUCUAGUUUGUAUGGUGUUGUGUCCUAAACAUUAUUGUUUAUAUUGCGCCAUAAAGCUUGUAUUUGGGGAAUAUCAGGACUUGUCAUGAGACUUGUCACAUCAUUCUUCUGAGAUGCACAUGAUUUGAAUAUGGCUUUUAAAUGAACUGUUAAAAGUGGUUUCUUCACAAAAUAGCAUAAAUA